UGGACAAUGGAGGCAACUCUGAUCCAGCCAUGCCGCGUGAAGGAAUAAGGCCCUAUGGGUUGUCAACUUCUUUUAGACGGGACAAAACCCCUUUACGUGUAAAGGGUUGAUGGUACUGUCAGAAUAAGCAUCGGCUAACUUCGUGCCAGCAGCCGCGGUAAUACGAAGGAUGCAAGCGUUAUCCGGAAUUAUUGGGUUUAAAGGGUGCGUAGGCGGACUAAUAAGUCAGUGGUGAAAGCCUGCAGCUUAACUGCAGAAUUGCCAUUGAUACUGUUAGUCUUGAGUACAGUUGAGGUAGGCGGAAUGUGUCAUGUAGCGGUGAAAUGCUUAGAUAUGACACAGAACACCGAUUGCGAAGGCAGCUUGCUAAGCUGUAACUGACGCUGAGGCACGAAAGCGUGGGGAGCAAACA
rnacentral:rRNA from 1 species